rnacentral:tRNA from 1 species
GCGCUCGUAUCUCAAUUGGAUAGAGUAUUGGCCUCCGAAGCCAAAGGUUGGGUGUUCAAAUCACCUCGAGCGCACCA